rnacentral:rRNA from 1 species
UACGUAGGGGGCGAGCGUUAUCCGGAUUUAUUGGGCGUAAAGCGUGCGUAGGCGGUUUAUUAAGUCUAGAAUUAAAUCCCGAGGCUUAACCUCGGUUCGUUCUGGAUACUGGUAGACUUGAGUAUGGUAGAGGCAAACGGAAUUCCUAGUGUAGCGGUGAAAUGCGUAGAUAUUAGGAGGAACACCAGUGGCGAAGGCGGUUUGCUGGGCCAUCACUGACGCUGAGGUACGAAAGCGUGGGUAGCAAAUA